CACUCAUCCAAAACAUACAUCCUGGGAAAAACAGUCGUAUAGCUACAGCCUACAGCCAACAGAUGACACCGUACUGAAAACCCUCAGUCACAGAGAUGGCCGGAACAAUCUUGAUAAGCUCAUCUCUUCUUCCCUAUUCCCCUCCUAAACAUCUAUUCUCAAAUAUCUUCUUCCCUCUCUCCAUAAACUCCCAGAUAUCCUCUCUAAAACUUCUCAGAAAUCCAACUAUUAGACAACAAAUCAGAAACCCAAGAAUUAACGCUAAUAAUGGUGGACAAUCAAGAAGAACAUCAGCAGCAGAAGAACUAGAAGAAAAAUUCUUUGGUUAUGAAAUUGAAGAUGAAGAAACUGAUGAUGAUGAUGAAGAUGAAGAUGAUGAUGAUGAUGAUGAAAUUGAAAGAGAAAGUAGUAUGGAUUUACUUUUCAGAUUUGUUCAGAGUAUGUAUAAGAAACUUUCUAAACGAGCAAAGAAAGCUACUCGGUCAAUUUUACCUCCAGCCAUUUCACCACCACUGGUUUCAUUUGCUGUGGAUGGUGUUUUUCUAUUGACUUCAUUGUCUAUUGUUAAAGCACUUCUUCAGGUUGUGUGCACACUAGGAGGUACAGUGUUCAUUGUAAUUCUUAUGGUACGAGUGAUUUGGGCAACAAUGUCAUAUUUCCAAUCAAAUGUAAACGCUUCCAAUCAGAGUAAUGGAAAUUCAUACAAUUCAACUAUACCUGCGUCAUAAAGCAGCUUGAAUUCGAGAGCUAGUACUCUGGUUUUGCCUUCAUCUGGGUUCAAUGUUGACUCUUUGCCAUCAAUGUUAAGUCGUUAAGAAUAACCAUCGAAUCAUAAGCAGUUUUUUUUGUUGGUUUUCACGGAAAUCUAGUUGCAAAUGGAUGGUCAAAUUAAAACCAAGACCAUAAUGAAAGCGGUGUAGGACCUGGUUUUGGUAAAUGAAAGCACCGAAACGAGUAAGAAUCAGCAGAAGGAGAAGGAGACAAAAUUGAGCAUGACCAGAUUUCUGUGAUGGUAUAUUAAACCCUUGUCUUGCUAAUGAUAUAAUGCCCGAGAUACUCAGCAGAACUUCAGUGAAGCCGCUCAUGUGCUUCAACUGUGUAAGUAAACCCUGGCGGUGCACAUCUUCCUUUCAACCUUCCUAAGGAAAACCAUUUUUGUCAGAAAAUGUGCUUGAAGUUGAAGGUAAUGCAACCUCUCACACUAUAAUUUAUGAUAGUAUGGUGGAAUCUGUCAGUGCUUUUCUGCUGAUUAAGUUUACUGAGAGAAGCCAUGCAGUUUGCAUAUAUAAUAUAAGCACCCGAGAAGCAACACCAUGGAUUGAAACAACAGUAGAGAAACAAAAGCAUUUUUAUGCACUCCAGUCUCCAAACAAUGGAGUCGGAUACGGUCUGCCAAAAAGGAAUACAGAUUGAUUUUUCAGUGGGGAGGGAUUAUCACAGAUACCCUGGAAAACAACUUGUAAGGUCUUGACUGUAGGCUAUAAAUCAUGGAGAAGGAUCAAUGAGGUCUCAUCUUUGCGGCUCCAAUACAGUUAUUUGAUGCACAGUUUGCCUGGCCAAAAACCUGCUUUGGAGGAUUAAGCUAUAGCGUCUUCUAGUGUUGCAAGUAAGAAACUCUGGGUGAUCCCAAUCCCUACUUCCAUCCUAGAUCAAAGUAGUGGUAAAUUGGGACCUUCCCAUUUUCAUUUACUUACAAUAGAUGGGCAUGUUGCUAUAUUUCAUCAAAAGAAUUACAUGGUGGUAAUAACUGGGCUGAGGAGACUAUCCUAAUUGGGACAAAGACGGAUAGUUUCACUUCAAACCCAUGGCAAGGAACGAUCAGACUAUUUUAAGCCGGUUUAGCAUGUCAAGCCCAAAGUGUAUUUGUUUUUCUUAUGAUCGGAAGAAUAAAUUCAGUAGAACUGACAUCUGCAGGUUUCCUUCCAACUUGGUAUUUUGGCCCUUCGCAGUAUUUUGACGACUUACCAGAUUCAGGAUGUCCCUAUUUGAUGCAGUUAGAGAUUGCUUGGUAAAUGCGACUUUUAGCAUGCUUUUUUACUUUGUAAUGUACGUUCUUUCUUCUUAUUUAUCGGAGAAACGUGAUGAACCAUACGACUUAAUAUAUGUUUUCAGAUGAA